UACGUAGGGGGCUAGCGUUGUCCGGAAUCAUUGGGCGUAAAGCGCGUGUAGGCGGCCCGGUAAGUCCGCUGUAAAAGUCCAGGGCUCAACCCUGGGAUGCCGGUCGAUACUGCCGGACUAGAGUUCGGAAGAGGCGAGUGGAAUUCCCCGGUGUAGCGGUGAAAUGCGCAGAUAUCGGGAGGAACACCAAUGGCGAAGGCAGCUCGCUGGGACGUUACUGACGCUGAGACGCGAAAAGCGUGGGGAGCAAACAGG
rnacentral:rRNA from 1 species